rnacentral:miRNA from 1 species
CAACUGAGCUUCCUCAUCUCU